rnacentral:rRNA from 1 species
UCGGAUGUGCCCGCAGGGUGCAUGGCAGACGGGUGAGUAACGCGUGGGGAAUCUACCUCUUUGUGGGGAAUAACGCUCCGAAAGGAGUGGUAAUACCGCAUGAGAUCCAUGGCUGGAAUGUUGUGGAUGAAACCUGGGGACCUUCGGGCCUGGGGCAAGGAGAGGAUCCUGCGUCUGAUUAGCUAGUUGGUGAGGUAACGGCCCACCAAGGCAACGAUCAGUAGCCGGCCUGAGAGGGUGAUCGGCCACACUGGAACUGAGACACGGUCCAGACUCCUACGGGAGGCAGCAGUGGGGAAUUUUGCGCAAUGGGCGAAAGCCUGACGCAGCAACGCCGCGUGGGUGAUGAAGGUCUUCGGAUCGUAAAACCCUGUCGUCGGGGACGAAGGUGUGGGGGUUAAUAGCCUUUGCAUUUGACGGUACCCGGAGAGGAAGCCCCGGCUAACUCUGUGCCAGCAGCCGCGGUAAUACAGAGGGGGCAAGCGUUAUUCGGAAUUAUUGGGCGUAAAGGGCGCGUAGGCGGCUUUUUAAGUGAGAUGUGUAAUCCCCGAGCUCAACUUGGGAACUGCAUCUCAUACUGGGAGGCUAGAGUACUGGAGAGGGUGGUA